UGAGGGGGGCUGCUCCUAGUACGAGAGGACCGGAGUGGACGCAUCACUGGUGUUCGGGUUGUCAUGCCAAUGGCACUGCCCGGUAGCUAAAUGCGGAAGAGAUAAGUGCUGAAAGCAUCUAAGCACGAAACUUGCCCCGAGAUGAGUUCUCCCUGACUCCUUGAGAGUCCUGAAGGAACGUUGAAGACGACGACGUUGAUAGGCCGGGUGUGUAAGCGCAGUGAUGCGUUGAGCUAACCGGUACUAAUGAACCGUGAGGCUUAACCUUACAACGCCGAAGCUGUU
rnacentral:rRNA from 1 species